AGGUGUGCAUGAUGCAACUUCCUAGAUGGUGUGUAGGCUGUUUAUCAACAUGUGAAACCAAUGUGUAUUUCAGGAGUAGUUUCCCCUGUUAAAGAUCAAUAAUUCACAACAUACAAUGCGGCAUGCAGUCUGGUCAUCAAUGGAGAGUUUUGACAGCUGUAUACCUGUAUUCUACCAGUCAGCUUUGUAGCCUUUGUUGUGUUCAUCAGACAGGCUUUAGGUGAAAGUGGUCUGUCACUGAGUCAACAAUUACUGUGAGCCAAUAUUUGAAGUCAUUCACAAGCAG